CAUCCUGUGGAGAGGGCACGCGUGUGUGAGUUCGCCCUUCCCAGCCCAGGCUGACUGGCUGCUGAGCAGAGGCUGCUCAGAAAUGUGAUUCCAGCCUGUUACCAAGGAACACGGGACAGGCAGACGUGGGUCUGCACCAAGGACGUGGGCGACACCUGGAUGACUGUGACCGCUGCCUCAACCAUGUCCGUGUCUGUGAGCCACACAAAUACUUGGCUUUGGUGGCCACCUCAUGCCCAGAGAAACACAGGCCUCUAAUCUGCCCAAGGCGUUUGCCGGCUUUGGGGAAGAGAGGCCCUUUGGGCAAGUAUCUCCUAGAAUCCACACCACUGCGAACUGACUGCGCAACUGCUGGGGUGGCCCUGCUGCCUCCCUCCCACCUUGGACCCGAGGCCUCCUCAGGAUUACAUGUGGCUGGACUCAGGCGCAGGAGGUUGACAUCAAGGCCGCGGAGAUUGGAGCUGGACCUAGAACUGUGACCCUCUGCGUAUAACUCUACUUCCACAACUCCCGAACUUGAUCACUACUGGUGUGCACUCCUGCCUGCUCUGAGAGAAGUGACACAUCCCAUCACGAGUGUUCCCUCGUGGGGGCCUGCCCAGCAGGUCCAGAACACUGGUUUCAAAGCCUCUGCCUCGGUAAAUGACAGGCUCAAGGCGCUGGGGCUUCCGAAAGACCAGCCGCGUUCCAAGACGUCAAGCCCUCCUCCACAGAGACUCACCUCCGCAAAUCUCAGGUCGGUUAGCCUGGUGCGCUGCUGCCAGAUGGAAACAUCACGUCAGGCCAUGUCAUCACUCCUGCCCUCCCAGUGGUCCCAAAGGCAUCCCUGGCAAUCCUUUUCAUUCCCCUUCUUUCUCUUUGCCCCGGAAAACCACAACUGAGGGAGGGUGGCAGGCUGCUGAACUUGGCCAACACUAGAGAAAGUACUGAAAGUCCUGAAACCAGGACAGUUCUCCCCCUACGUAACUGACAGUGACCGGCCAACAGCUACGGCAACUCAUCCGAGGAUGAAAGAGCCAGAGGCAAGGCGAGUGGCGGCUCAGACUCCUGCGCCCUCCCUGCUGGAUGGCUUCCUGCUGGGCGUCGGCAGAAAGCCUGCUGGUGGCUCAGCAGAGUUCACUCCAGUCUAGAACUGGCGUCACUUUAAGGGGUGAUAACUUCAGCUUCCACUAGUGUGUGGUCCUGCCCCCCCCCACCCCCUGCUUAUACUAGAAGCUCCCCUAGAAGACAGACCAAGACUCCCACAGAUGCUGAGUUUCCCAGAGUCCAAUGCCAUGUUCCAGAUCACCUACAGCACCCUGGGGAGCCUCCAACCUGAGCUGGAACCGGUGCAGAUGCACCAAUGAAAUGCCUCCUGAGGAAGCUAGCUCAAUGAAGGGGACCAAAAACACUGAUUAAAUUCUCAAAUACAGAGUAAAAUAAUAAAAAAAAACUUUAGUGGUA